GCUAGAAUAGCUCAGUUGGUAGAGCUUGAGAUUCUUAAUCUCAGGGUUGUGGGUUCGAGCCCCACAUUGCAUGGCA